GUUGUCCUGGUCUAGCGGUUAUGAUUUCUGUUUAACACACAGAAGGUUCGGAGUUCGAUUCUCCGGGACAAUA
rfam:Rachicladosporium antarcticum strain CCFEE 5527 scaffold_36, whole genome shotgun sequence.